rnacentral:rRNA from 1 species
UGGGGGAUAUUGCACAAUGGGGGAAACCCUGAUGCAGCAACGCCGCGUGAAGGAUGAAGGUUUUCGGAUUGUAAACUUCUGUUCUUAGUGACGAUAAUGACGGUAGCUAAGAAGAAAGCCCCGGCUAACUACGUGCCAGCAGCCGCGGUAAUGCGUAGGGAGCGAGCGUUGUCCGGAUUUACUGGGUGUAAAGGGUGCGUAGGCGGCAGAGCAAGUCAGGCGUGAAAGCCAUGGGCUUAACCCAUGAACUGCGCUUGAAACUGUUCUGCUUGAGUGAAGUAGAGGCAGGCGGAAUUCCCGGUGUAGCGGUGAAAUGCGUAGAGAUCGGGAGGAACACCAGUGGCGAAGGCGGCCUGCUGGGCUUUAACUGACGCUGAGGCAUGAAAGCAUGGGUAGCAAACAGGAUUAGAUACC